rnacentral:rRNA from 1 species
GCAUGUCUAAGUAUAAGCAAUUAUACAGCGAAACUGCGAAUGGCUCAUUAUAUAAGUUAUCGUUUAUUUGAUAGUGCCUUACUACUUGGAUAACCGUGGUAAUUCUAGAGCUAAUACAUGCUGAAAGCCCCGACUCACGGAGGGGCGUAUUUAUUAGAUUAAAAACCAAUGCCCUUCGGGGCUCCUUGGUGAUUCAUGAUAACUUCUCGAAUCGCACGGCCUUGCGCCGGCGAUGGUUCAUUCAAAUUUCUUCCCUAUCAACUUUCGAUGUUUGGGUAGUGGCCAAACAUGGUGGCAACGGGUAACGGAGGGUUAGGGCUCGACCCCGGAGAAGGAGCCUGAGAAACGGCUCCUACAUCCAAGGAAGGCAGCAGGCGCGCAAAUUACCCAAUCCCGACUCGGGGAGGUAGUGACAAUAAAUACUGAUGCAGGGCUCUUUAGGGUCUUGCAAUUGGAAUGAGUACAAUUUAAAUCCCUUAACGAGGAACAAUUGGAGGGCAAGUCUGGUGCCAGCAGCCGCGGUAACUCCAGCUCCAAUAGCGUAUAUUAAAGUUGUUGUGGUUAAAAAGCUCGUAGUUGAACCUUGGGCCUGGCCGUCCGGUCCGCCUCACCGCGUGCACUGGCACGGCCGGGCCUUCCCACCGCGGAAUCGCAUGCCCUUUACUGGGCGUGUCGGGGAAGCGGUACUUUUACUGUGAAAAAAUUAGAGUGCUCUAAGCAGGCCUAUGCUCGAAUACAUUAGCAUGGAAUAAUAGAAUAGGACAGGCGUUCUAUUUUGUUGGUUUCUAGGACGUCUGUAAUGAUUAACAGAAACAAUCGGGGGCGUCAGUAUUGCAUCGUCAGAGGUGAAAUUCUUAGAUCGACGCAAGACUAACUACUGCGAAAGCAUUCGCCAAGGGUGUUUUCAUUAAUCAGGAACGAAAGUUAGGGGAUCGAAGACGAUCAGAUACCGUCGUAGUCUUAACCAUAAACUAUGCCGACUAGGGAUCGGGCGGUGUUAAUUUUUGACCCGCUCGGCACCUUACGAGAAAUCUUAAGUGCUUGGGCUCCAGGGGGAGUAUGGUCGCAAGG